UACGUAGGGGGCAAGCGUUGUCCGGAUUUAUUGGGCGUAAAGAGCUCGUAGGUGGUUCGGUAAGUCGGAUGUGAAAUCUCCAGGCUCAACCUGGAGGGGUCAUUCGAUACUGCCGUGACUAGAGUUCGGUAGGGGAGUGUGGAAUUCCUGGUGGAGCGGUGAAAUGCGCAGAUAUCGGGAGGAACACCCGUAGCGAAGGCGGCACUCUGGGCCGAUACUGACACUGAGGAGCGAAAGCGUGGGGAGCGAACAGG
rnacentral:rRNA from 1 species